rnacentral:rRNA from 1 species
AUUGAACGCUGGCGGCAUGCCUUACACAUGCAAGUCGAACGGUAACGGGCCUUCGGGUGCCGACGAGUGGCGAACGGGUGAGUAAUAUAUCGGAACAUGCCCAGUAGUGGGGGAUAACGUAGCGAAAGUUACGCUAAUACCGCAUACGUCCUAAGGGAGAAAGGGGGGGAUCGCAAGACCUCUCGCUAUUGGAGUGGCCGAUAUCGGAUUAGCUAGUUGGUGGGGUAAAGGCCCACCAAGGCGACGAUCCGUAGCUGGUCUGAGAGGACGACCAGCCACACUGGGACUGAGACACGGCCCAGACUCCUACGGGAGGCAGCAGUGGGGAAUUUUGGACAAUGGGGGAAACCCUGAUCCAGCCAUGCCGCGUGUGCGAAGAAGGCCUUCGGGUUGUAAAGCACUUUUGUCAGGAACGAAAAGUUUCGUACUAAUACUGCGAGACGAUGACGGUACCUGAAGAAUAAGCACCGGCUAACUACGUGCCAGCCGCCGCGGUAA